rnacentral:rRNA from 1 species
CGGGGAUAACACCUGGAAACAGAUGCUAAUACCCGGAUAACAACAGAUGAUGCCUAUCAACUGUUUAAAAGAUGGUUCUGCUAUCACUCUUGGGAUGGACCCCUGCGGUGCAUUAGCUAGUUGGUAGGGUAACGGCCUACCAAGGCGAUGAUGCAUAGCCGAGUUGAGAGACUGAUCGGCCACAUUGGGACUGAGACACGGCCCAAAACUCCUACGGGGAGGCAGCAGUAGGGAAAUCUUCCACAAUGGACGCAAGUCUGAUGGAGCAACGCCGCGUGAGUGAAGAAGGGUUUCGGCUCGUAAAGCUCUGUUGUUGGUGAAGAAGGACAGGGGUAGUAACUGACCUUUGUUUGACGGUAAUCAAUUAGAAAGUCACGGCUAACUACGUGCCCAGCAGCCGCGGGUAAU